rnacentral:rRNA from 1 species
AGUGAACGCUGGCGGCGUGCCUAACACAUGCAAGUCGAACGAUGAUGGAGGAGCUUGCUCUUCCUGAUUAGUGGCGCACGGGUGAGUAAUGCAUAGAUAAUGUGCCCCUUAGUUCGGGAUAGCCACUGGAAACGGUGAUUAAUACCGGAUACUCCUUCUUGUCAUAAGAUAAGUCGGGAAAGUUUUUCGCUAAGGGAUCAGUCUAUGUUCCAUCAGUUAGUUGGUGAGGUAACGGCUCACCAAGACAAUGACGGAUAUCUGGUUUGAGAGGAUGAUCAGACACACUGGAACUGAGACACGGUCCAGACUCCUACGGGAGGCAGCAGUGAGGAAUAUUGCACAAUGGAGGAAACUCUGAUGCAGCAACGCCGCGUGGAGGAUGACGCAUUUCGGUGUGUAAACUCCUUUUAUUAGGGAAGAUUAUGACGGUACCUAAUGAAUAAGCACCGGCUAACUCCGUGCCAGCCGCCGCCGUAAAAC